rnacentral:lncRNA from 1 species
CCAAAAGUCAAUAGACGUAAAAAUUUGCAAUUUCUUAUCGUCCUUGAAGUAGUGUUAUGGUAUCUUCAUUUGCGGAGCAAAUAUUGUCAAACGGUGGUUGGGGAUCAGAGUUUGAGCUUUGGAAAGUAUAUAUAGGCCGCUUAGGUUGUGGGCGAUCUGUCUCCCUACUCAGCAUGAAAACUACAUCUGGCAUGGUUGGCCUAUCUGCAGCAUUGUCCUGUACACAAAGAAGCCCAAUGUGCACACAUCUCAUCACUUCUGUUGACGAAUAUGAAUCUGCCAAAACUUCAUCAACCAAGUCCAAUCCCCUGCCUUCAUUCCAUGAGUGCCAUGCCUGAAUAAGUUUCAUAUAUGUUGGCUACAAUUGUUAGACUCUGUUGUAUUUAGCUUCAUAUAGAUUGUUUAACAAUUUAUAAGAAUUUAGAGUGUGAACUUACAUAAUCUAUGAAGCCUAGCUGUUGGUCAUGGUAAUAGAAGCUGGUAUUUUUCCUGCCACCAACAAUCUCCAAUAGAAAGACUCCAAAGCUAUAUAUAUCAGAUUUUUCAGAAAAUAUCCCGCGCAUAGCGUACUCGGGAGACAUAUAGCCACUGUACAGGAAAUUCAUUAUCCACUAACUUAUUAUUAUUCCUGAUAACAUGCUAAAAAGCAUUAGAAAUUUAGUUGGUUAAUAACAAUUCUGAUAAUUGGGAAGAAAUUAUUCUUACCGAGUUCCCACAACCUUCUGAGUGUUUGCUAGAUUCUGUGUCCCUUCAAAGAUACGUGCCAGUCCAAAAUCCGAAAUUUUUGGGCUCAUCUUCUCAUCCAACAGAAUAUUACUUACCUUCAAACAUGAAUCAUAGUGGAGAUAAAGAAGUCCUCUAGCAACACCUUGAAUAAUAUUGAAGCGUUUUGCCCAAUCAAGCUCUGCUCUUCUCAUUGGAUCUAAUCAAUUCACCCAUUUGAAAUGAAAUCAGUAGUGUCAUUCAUAUAUUUGGUGCAUAGUACAAUGAAAACAAUGAUUUAAUUGCUAUAAAAUAGAGACACAGUUGUAAGAACACUAGUAAGCGGUGCUUAAACAGGUAGGUGUAAUAUAUUGAAGAGCUAAACUGUACUCAAAGAUUGUGCAUAUCAGUUAAUAGUUCCCCUGAGCUCCGCAUUCUAGGAAAAGCUCAUAGAUUACCAGUGAUAUUGAAGAAAGAUAUGUAACAAUGAGAAAUUGCAGCCAAACAUAAAGGGCCAGUGAAACUUACUGAACAAAAGAGUAUCCAAGCUUUUGUUUGGCAUGAACUCAUAAAUUAGUAGCUUCUCAUCAUCUUUAAUGCAGCAACCCAUGAGCCUUACAAGAUUCUUAUGUUGGAGUUUGGAGAUCAAUAGAAUCUCAUUCUUGAACUCUUCUAUGCCUUGUACUGAGCUACUAGAUAGUCUUUUUACUGCUAUUUCCUUCCCUUCUUGUAGCUUACCCUACACAAGGUCCACAAAUUAAUCAUUGCAUUCAUGUCUGUAUCAUUAUAUAUAUUCCUUCGAAAAGAAAAAAAAGAAAGAAAGAAUAAUCACCCUAUAUACAGGCCCGAAUCCUCCUUCUCCGAGUUUAUUUGUGAUGCUGAAAUUCCUCGUAGCAAUUAAUAUGGUAUCAAAAUCAUAGAUUACUAGCUCUGAUGGAUCAUGUUUUCUUAUAUAUUCAUGAAGAAGAGCAUCUCUUGAAGUCUCAAUCAUAUCAGCCAUUUCAGAGUCCUUAGGUGUUACUUUGACGUUUCCUGGUUUGCAAAUAUAGCAACCAAACUCGAAGUCAGAGAAAAACAAAAAAGCAGUAAAUAUGCUCUUAUAAUGUAAUGCAUUGAAGUUAUACUGUUUUGAUUAAUACUUCAAACAGAGGAAGGGUGAGAUCAUGGGCUAAUGCAUUAAUUGCAUCCCUCGACCUCAUUCUCUUACUCUUUUGGUUAGAUCGCAAUCUGUGCAAGCUAAACACUAUGCCAGCCAAGAUACUGAUAAAACAAACAGCUAUGAGGCUGACCAUUAUCUUUAUUUGCUUUCUUUCACCUAAAAAAAUGAAUUUGUGUCACAUAAAGUAGGUGACAGAGAAAAGAAAAGAUACUGCUAAUUAGAGUUGUGCAAGCAAUAUUAUCACUUACCUAAUUCUGCAUGUGCUAAGCGAAUAAAAAGAUCAUCUCCACCAGAGGCAAACUCUUGAAUAUCAAUAAGGUCUUUGGACCAGACCAAACACCCUAUAUUGUUAAUAUGUGUAUAAGCCAGGCAAGAGCAACUACCUGUGCACUGUACCUUGCAGUCUUCAGCACCCAAAUUCGAAAUAUACUCAUGAAAAUCUGGUAGGUUUACACUUGAUAUCUUCCAAAACCCAUCUUGUUUUCCUCUCGAAGGAACUGAGUUACUUGUGUUACUCCCACAAAACAAUUUGGUUUUCCUCACACACCCCCCUGCCCUGUUUCCUUUGCUCCAUUCCUCUUGUGACUUGGGUUUAAACCCUUUCAAACACUUGCAGAUUGGAGACUCGGAAGCUUUGCAAACCCCAAAAGGUCCACAGAUUCCAUAAUGGUCACAUGGAUUCUUUGGGGCCUCCCAGUCAAGAUUCCAGUUCUCACCAUGUUCGGAAUACAUAAGCUUUAGUGUACCUUGAUAAGAGAUUUCCAUAUAUGCCAGAGUUCUGUUAAAGAAAAAAGAGAAAUACUUUGUUCCCUGCUGCACAUUAUCAUCUAGAUUUAAUCCACUUAGAUAUUCAUCAUUCAUUCCUGGUAUGCCGAGGAACUUUGUUUUGUCCCAUGGCCCACUUCUCCAGUAGGGAGUUGAUCCAUUAAUCCAAAUGAACAUUUGUGUUGGGAUCUGUGGUGCCAAUCCAACCGAGAACAACCCGGUUGAUCCAUCACUCUCACUUUUCCAGGCAGUCAAGACAUCCCUCUUUCCAGAUUUGUUAUCGAAUCCCAGCAACAUCUUUGGUAGAAGUGUGUCACCAGGAUAAUCAAAGCUCCUCCAUAAUUGAGCUCCUAUAUCAUCUUGGACAACAAAGUUUCCACUGUCUAAAAGAAGUGCAGCUGAACCAUUAGAUGGCACUAAAAUAUUGGUUGACCAAAUACAACUCUGUUUCCCAUCUACAAGCUCCAGGUUCCCAUUGCUGUUAAUUGUCAAACUAGCCAAUGUGUCUGUAACUGAAAGAGCCUUUUCUCUGUUGGCCACCCAAACAACUUUGCGGGGAAAUAUAGUCUUGUGCCAUAUCCCCACAUACUUGUUAGCAGAAUUAUUAGGACUGAAGAAGCCCAAUUCGAAAAUGUGGCCUGGGGAGACAAGAGUUUGUCCCUCUGCUAAUGGUUGUGAAGAAGUUAUGUUAUAAACUUCUGCACAAUAAUGCUGUGACAGAAACCAAUUGAAAAAGAAUAGGAUGAAGAUGGAGGGAUUAAAAGCAUGAAAAGUUUCAGUUCUCUUACCCAUUUCAAGCUUGUUAAUCUCCCUGCCCAACACGAGGUAUCUAAUUGUCAACCAAAACAAUAUUGCAUGUGGUUUUGGGCCAAUCAAUCAAUCAAUCUCUCUCUCUCUCUCUCUCUCUCUCUCUCUCUUUAUAAUAACAUCACAAACAAAUUAGCUAGUGUUCCUCUCUGGUUGGGGCCUGCCUUACUGACCAGCGAAAAGAAAAAGUAGUCAUGCGCAGAAAGCUACUUUUAAUACUAAACAAAAUAGCUUAUAGGACCACCUACGAAUAAUCUUCCUCACCCCGAAACUCAGAUUGACUAAAUAUAUAAAUUUGGGUAUCUAUAAAGAAAUCACAGAAGAAAGAAAAACGUCGGGAAAACAAACAGUUGGUGGGAAGCUGCUACGAACCUCAAAUUUACAGCAGCCAAACAAAGUCGGAGCUUUGUCUCCAUUUUUCCACAGAACCGUAUUAACAAGUUACAGAAACCAAUCUUUGACAUGGUCAUGAGGCAAGCGGGGGUGUUUCGAAAAUUCAGAAAGCUUUAUAAUCAAUCUCCAGGUCAACAGUCAAGAAUCAUGUUAGUCAAUAAUGUUGAAAAGACAAAAAGAUCAAGGCUUUUUUAGCUCAUAACAACCCAACUUCAAUUUGAAAGAUAAAGUUUUGUUAUUGCUGUCACAUAUUAUGUGUUAGACAAUCACAAUUUGUCUGAAAAAUAACAAGGGAAGUGGAGUUGAACCCAAAAAACCACGUUUUUCUUUACCUUUUAAUAAUAGCAUAAGAUAUUUGAACACAUACAAAACAUAUGUAUCAAAUCUAAUAAUAGCAUAGGCUAGCAUUGGAUCAGGACAUUAAAGGGAUGUUAUACUACUAACACCCGUCUUAUAAUGUUUUUUUGGCGCAUUUUAGCAAAAUAUCCCAUGAAAGGAAAACCUUCAUUCACUAUACCAAAAGGAAAACUUCAGAAUGGCCAAAAGUCAGUAGAUGCAAAAAUUUGCAAUUUCUUAUCGUCCUUGAAGAAGUGUUAUGGUAUCUUCAUUUGCAGAGCAAAUAUUGUCAAACUGUGGUUGUGGAUCAGAGACUGAGCUUUGGGAAGUAAAAAUAGGCCGCUUAGGUUGUGGGCGAUCUGUCUCCCUACUCAGCAUGAAAACUACAUCUGGCAUGGUUGGCCUAUCUGCAGCAUUGUCCUGUACACAAAGAAGCCCAAUGUGCACACAUCUCAUCACUUCUGUUGACGAAUAUGAAUCUGCCAAAAC